UACAGAGGGUGCAAGCGUUAAUCGGAAUUACUGGGCGUAAAGCGCACGUAGGCGGCUUUGUAAGUUAGAGGUGAAAGCCCAGGGCUUAACCCUGGAAUUGCCUUUAAGACUGCAUCGCUAGAAUCGUGGAGAGGUAAGUGGAAUUCCGAGUGUAGAGGUGAAAUUCGUAGAUAUUCGGAAGAAACACCAGUGGCGAAGGCGACUUACUGGACACGUAUUGACGCUGAGGUGCGAAAGCGUGGGGAGCAAACAGG
rnacentral:rRNA from 1 species